GUUCUAAUACCUGGUUUUUGCCUCCGGAAAUCUCUGCAACCUGUGCUUCCUAUUUUCUUCCAGGGGGUCUUAUAAGUGGAUCUUCUAAAUUAAGAGAGCAAGCAGCUUUGGGCCUUGGAGAGUUAAUUGAAGUGACAAGUGAUCAAGCAUUAAAGGAGUUUGUCAUUCCGAUCACAGGGUCGUUCAUUCGUAUAAUAGGGGACAGAUUCCCAUGGCAAGUUAAAAGUUCAAUUCUCUCAACUUUGAGCAUCAUAAUAUGGAAGGGUGGGUUGGCCCUAAAGCCUUUUCUUCCCCAGCUUCAAA